AUAUUUAUUUGUUUAAUUUUGUGAAGUUAUUUAUAUUAUAUAUAUGUUUUGGAUUUUAGUUAUUUAAAAUCAUUUGAGUAGUAUUUGUCGAAAGUUCCGAACUAGAGUUGGUUUAUUUUAGAUGAAACAAAACCCAAAUCCAAACCCACCCUCUUUGUCGGUUUAGUGAUAAGCCAAAAGCCCACCUCUUAGCUCUUCUUUCUCCUUCUCGGGUAUUCUAAACCCCAAACCCCCGUGAAAAAUCUCGAAACCCCAAAACCCAGACCACCGAAUUCUGUCUCGCCUGCGCUCCUGCCUUGCCGGCAUCUCCUCAAGCUCGCCGGAGCUUCGCCGUGCUGUUUGUCCCCCCCCCCCCAACGCGGUGCUGAUGCUCUAAUUAUUCCGCAUCUCUCUUUCUCCUCUGUUCUCUUCGUCUUUGCUACUGGUGUGAGUUGUUGCUCGACGAACAGUCGCCGCCUCGCCGGAAUCUUGUCGUGCUGCUGCUGGUUGUGGUCAUGGUGCCGUCAUCGGUCGGUUUUUCCCUCCCCUGCUCGCGUUGUUGUUGUUGUUCUGCUGCCGCGGUUGUUUUGCGAUGCUGUCGUCGCCACCUCGGUGUUGGUGAUACAUCGAAGUAUCUUAUAUGUUUCAGGUUGAAGCCGUGAGUUAUUCUUUUGCAAGUUGAAGCUAAUACAAGUUGGAGCAGUAUUAUAGUUGCUAUCGAAGUGAGGACGCUUGAUUUGUAAUAGUUAAUUGUUUAUUUUCUAUAAUUUAUUUCUACAUUUAAGACUCGCUAGUUAGUGCUCCUGAUUCUCUAUUGGUUGUUGCUCCGCGAAAGCGUUGAGAUUGUUGAACUUUGGGAUUUGGAAAUAUUUUAUAAACUGAAAUUGCAACAGGUUCAUAUUA